rfam:Planctomycetes bacterium RIFCSPLOWO2_02_FTLL_50_16 rifcsplowo2_02_scaffold_2225, whole genome shotgun sequence.
GGGCGAGUGGUGGAAUGGCAGACACGAGGGACUUAAAAUCCCUUGGGUGAAUAGCCCAUGUGGGUUCGACUCCCACCUCGCCCA